AACGAACGCUGGCGGCAUGCCUAACACAUGCAAGUCGAACGAAGUCUUCGGACUUAGUGGCGCACGGGUGCGUAACGCGUGGGAAUCUGCCCUUGGGUGCGGAAUAACUUCUCGAAAGGGAUGCUAAUACCGCAUAAUGUCGUAAGACCAAAGAUUUAUCGCCCAAGGAUGAGCCCGCGUAAGAUUAGCUAGUUGGUGGGGUAAAAGCCUACCAAGGCGACGAUCUUUAGCUGGUCUGAGAGGAUGAUCAGCCACACUGGGACUGAGACACGGCCCAGACUCCUACGGGAGGCAGCAGUGGGGAAUAUUGGACAAUGGGCGAAAGCCUGAUCCAGCAAUGCCGCGUGAGUGAUGAAGGCCCUAGGGUUGUAAAGCUCUUUUACCAGGGAUGAUAAUGACAGUACCUGGAGAAUAAGCUCCGGCUAACUCCGUGCCAGCAGUCGCGGUAAU
rnacentral:rRNA from 1 species